rnacentral:rRNA from 1 species
AGAUUGAACGCUGGCGGCAUGCCUUACACAUGCAAGUCGAACGGCAGCACGGGAGCAAUCCUGGUGGCGAGUGGCGAACGGGUGAGUAAUACAUCGGAACGUGCCCAAUCGUGGGGGAUAACGCAGCGAAAGCUGUGCUAAUACCGCAUAAGAUCUACGGAUGAAAGCAGGGGAUCGCAAGACCUUGCGCGAAUGGAGCGGCCGAUGGCAGAUUAGGUAGUUGGUGAGGUAAAGGCUCACCAAGCCUUCGAUCUGUAGCUGGUCUGAGAGGACGACCAGCCACACUGGGACUGAGACACGGCCCAGACUCCUACGGGAGGCAGCAGGUGGGAAUUUUGGACAAUGGGCGAAAGCCUGAUCCAGCCAUGCCGCGUGCCAGGAUGAAGGCCUUACGGGUUGUAAACGUUGUCUUUUCGUUACGGAACGUAAAAGUCGUACUUUUACCUAAUAAAGGAGGAAUCAUGACGGUACCGUAAAGAAUAAGCAACCGGACUAACUACGUACG